CCGAAUUGAUAACUCUUUGAACUACCAUUUGAGGUCGUAAAUGAUGUGAAGGUGCCCCAUCAAUUAUUAAAUUUACCAAGUUGACGUUGGUUGUGUUCAUCAUUUGUGGCAUUAUAACCAAAACGUUUUUUAGAGUAGCAAUUGUAUCUUGUUAGGAUAUUUAUGCAGAAUCGAGUCUUUAUAUAUUUCGCAAGAGUAGACUCUAUCUGAAGCAACAUGGGAUUUUGAUUUCAUUAUUUCAAGGGAGAGCAUUUUCCAUCACUCUCAACAAGGGUGGUUUAUUCCCGAGUAGACUCUGUUGUGGAGGAUUAACGAACUGAAUCGCUGAUUUAGAGAUGCUGAUGAUGAUGCGAGCAACGAUUGCUGCUGCUUCUUCUUCUUUGAAGUUUGGUUAUGGCAGCAGAAGCAGCACCACCAGACUCAGACUCAGAGCAUAAGAGUCUGAUGGAAGAAGCAAUGGAGGAAAUGAUAGUCACCGGCGGUGGACUCUGAUCAAUUUUUUAAAAUUCUGCACUUUCUCUAACA
rnacentral:sRNA from 1 species